GGACUACUGGGGUAUCUAAUCCUGUUUGCUCCCCACGCUUUCGCACCUCAGCGUCAAUACCAGUCCAGUGAGCCGCCUUCGCCACUGGUGUUCUUCCGAAUAUCUACGAAUUUCACCUCUACACUCGGAAUUCCACUCACCUCUCCUGGAUUCAAGCGAUGCAGUCUUAAAGGCAAUUCUGGAGUUGAGCUCCAGGCUUUCACCUCUAACUUACAAAGCCGCCUACGUGCGCUUUACGCCCAGUAAUUCCGAAUAACGCUAGCUCCCUCCGUAUUACCGCGGCGGCUGGCAC
rnacentral:rRNA from 1 species